rnacentral:lncRNA from 1 species
UUGGAGAUGCCCACGACGUCCAUGGCGUGCCUCGUCGCCGCGUACUCUUCCGCGUUGUCCACACCUUUAAGCGUGUAGCAGGAGGAUUGGUUGGUGUAACGGUAGUCCGCGGGCGUCUUCAACCGAAGCUCCUUGCGCUCAUCCGGGGAGGCUCCGUCGCAGAGCUGGUAGAAGAUGUGGAAGUUUCUCUCCGGGUCGUUGAUGUUCACAAUGCGGCUGCGCUCGAGGAGGUAGGUCCUGAUUGCCGCGCCGCUGAUCCUGUUCUUCUUAUCGAACUGAAUCUCCACGAACUUGCCGAAUCUCGACGAGUUGUCGUUGCGCACCGUCUUUGCGUUGCCGAAAGCCUCCAGCAGCGGGUUGGACUCCAGCACCUGCUGCUCCACGGGCCUGGCGCUCUCCAGCGCCGCCUGGUCCGGGUGGUGUUCGACGCCGUCGGAGCUGCCGCCCAUGUGAGCGAGGUAGUGCAUGAUCUGCUUGGUCGUCUCCGUCUUGCCCGCGCCGGACUCGCCAGACACGAGGAUGGACUGCGAGUGCGACUCCUUCACCAUUGUGCGAAACGCCGCCUCAGCAAUUGCAAACACGUGGGGGCUCAACUCGCCGAGCUGCAUACCCUGGUACUGGUCCAUCAUGUGGUGGUCGUACAGGUGGGGUAGACGCUGGAAUGGGUUCACCUGCGGAUGGGAAGUGGCGUGCACGGGGCGCGGUUCGGGGUCACUACCGGUCGAAUGGUUUUUGGGAACGUUGAUUCGACACGGGGGUUACGUUCGACACGGAGGGAUAUGGUGGAAGGGCUCGGGGGCGGGGAUCUGUCGUGGACUCACCGCGAUGAGGAUGGAACCGGUGUAGGUGUAGAUCUCGUCGAGUCCGUAGCGCGACUGCAGGUUGUUUAGCACGCCAGGUUCGUGGAGGUAGUUGAGCUUCACCAUGUCCUCCUGGGUGGCCUUCUCGCAGAGGCUGCAGUCGGCAGCGGGGACCACCUUGUCCCCCGCUCCCGGGAUCUGCACCGUGACCUUGUCGCCGUCGAUGGAGGUGACCUCCCCGGAGAUGUAGGCAUCAUCACCUCCAUCGGGAAGCCAUACCUUGACGCCCACGGCGAUGGCAUUCACCUCUGCCACCGCGUCGGUCGCGCCCAUGGUUGACUCACGCUGACGCCGAAAGGAACGAGCCGUUGAGUGGCUAGCUAGUGCGGCAAGAUUCUACGAGAGCAGAGACCCUCGCUGCGGAGUGGUGACCCUCCCUGCUUACGUCCCAGCCGAGCGGUGUCACACGCGCCACUCGAUUGGUCGCGCGAUGUGUCGCACCCGCUAGGGAUGUCGCCUGGUGCUUCU